rnacentral:rRNA from 1 species
UACGGAGGGUGCAAGCGUUGUCCGGAUUUAUUGGGUUUAAAGGGUGCGUAGGUGGUUUUCUAAGUCUGGUUUGAAAGCUGGUGGCUUAACCAUCAGAUGUGGCUGGAAACUGGAGGACUUGAAUGCGUUGGCGGUAGCCGGAACGGGUCAGUGGUAGCGGUGAAAUGCAGUAGAUAUGACCCAGAACACCGAUUGCGAAGGCAGGCUACUACGACGCGAUUGACACUGAGGCACGAGAGC